ACAUAGCCCCGGUUGGAGCGGCAUCCUUUUGUGAUGAGGGACGAAGAGCAAAAGACCGUGCCUGCCGGCAGGCAGGUACAGAGGAAAACGGGAUUAAGC
rnacentral:misc_RNA from 1 species